rnacentral:rRNA from 1 species
AUGUGGCCACGGAUGAUGCGGCGCUCUUCUCGUACCAGAUACAAUGGAGGCGGUGGACGACGCCCGCUGGACCAGAAGACGACUACAACACCGCCAGAGAUUGCCUACGACAAGCCAGGCAUCACGCUCCUUUUUGGAGAUGACUCGGAAGCAAACGGAGCUCGCCAACGACGUAGCCCAACCACUAGCUCUGGGUAUCUAUCAUGGCGGCCUACAUGUCCUAGGCGCACAGGAUCACGGCGAACAGGUUCAUGGCAAAUCGGACACAGGCAUACAGGUUUUGCACCAUACUUCCUGAAGGAGACGGUGUGGCGGAACCGGAGCUCGCAACGACGUAGCCCGAGUCAAGUCCAUGGCGAACAGGUCUCUCCGGUGCACAAGUCCUUGGCGUCCCGAUCGCGGCGAACAGGUCGGUGGUCUUGCUUACCGAAGGAGACGGCGUGGAGAAACCGGAGCUCACGACGGUGUAGCCCGAGUCAAGUCCAUGGUGAACAGGUCUCUCCGGUACGAAGGUGCAUGGUGUGCCGAUCGCGGUGCAUAGGUCGGGUAUAUUGCUUCCCGGAGGAGAUGACAUGGCGGAACCGGAGCUCGCGACGACGUAGCCCAAGUCAAGUCAAUGGCGAACAGGUCUCUCCGGUGCACAAGUCCAUGGCUUUCCGAUCACGGUGCACGGGUUGGAUGUCUUGCUUCCCGGAGGAGACGACGUGGCGAAACCGGUGCUCACGACGAUGCAGCCCGAGACCGGUCCCACCUUUGAAGGCGCACCCACCAUGGCGAACAGGUCAUUGGCAUACAGAUCUUGGUGUGAUACUUGUCUCGUCAAUCCACCGAAUACGGCCUUUAGCCGAGAUGAGGCAUUGA